rnacentral:rRNA from 1 species
GGGCCCGCACAAGCGGUGGAGUAUGUGGUUUAAUUCGAUGCAACGCGAAGAACCUUACCAGGGUUUGACAUCCUGCGAAUCUCUUGGAAACGAGAGAGUGCCUUCGGGAACGCAGUGACAGGUGGUGCAUGGCUGUCGUCAGCUCGUGUCGUGAGAUGUUGGGUUAAGUCCCGCAACGAGCGCAACCCACGUCUUUAGUUGCCAGCAUUUAGUUGGGCACUCUAGAGAGACUGCCGGUGAUAAACCGGAGAAGGUGUGGAUGACGUCAAGUCAUCAUGCCCCUUACAUCUGGGCUACACACGUACUACAAUGCUACGGACAAAGGGCAGCAAACUCGCGAGAGCUAGCAAAUCCCAUAAACGUGGCUC